GCCAGUAUGGCAUAAUGGUUUGAGUGUUGGACUAAGACUCUGGUGACUAGGGUUCAAUUCCCUACUUUGCA